rnacentral:rRNA from 1 species
CGCGGCCUAUCAGCUUGUUGGUGGGGUAAUGGCCUACCAAGGCAACGACGGGUAGCUGGUCUGAGAGGAUGAUCAGCCACACUGGGACUGAGACACGGCCCAGACUCCUACGGGAGGCAGCAGCGGGGAAUCUUGCGCAAUGGGCGAAAGCCUGACGCAGCAACGCCGCGUGCGGGAUGAAGGCCUUCGGGCUGUAAACCGCUUUCAGCAGGAACGAAAAUGACGGUACCUGCAGAAGAAGGAGCGGCCAACUACGUGCCAGCAGCCGCGGUGACACGUAGGCUCCAAGCGUUGUCCGGAUUUAUUGGGCGUAAAGAGCUCGUAGGCGGUUGAGUAAGUCGGGUGUGAAAACUCUGGGCUUAACCCGGAGACGCCAUCCGAUACUGCUCUGACUUGAGUUCAGGAGGGGAGUGGGGAAUUCCUAGUGUAGCGGUGAAAUGCGCAGAUAUUAGGAGGAACACCGGUGGCGAAGGCGCCACUCUGGACUGAAACUGACGCUGAGGAGCGAAAGCAUGGGUAGCAAACAGGAUUAGAUACCCUGGUAGUCCAUGCCGUAAACGGUGGGCACUAGGUGUGGGUUCCAACUAACGGGAUCCGCGCCGUCGCUAACGCAUUAAGUGCCCCGCCUGGGGAGUACGG